UUAAGCGACUAAGCGUACACGGUGGAUGCCCUGGCAGUCAGAGGCGAUGAAGGACGUGCUAAUCUGCGAAAAGCGCCGGCGAGGUGAUAUGAACCUUUGACCCGGCGAUGUCCGAAUGGGGAAACCCAGUGCAAUCCGUUGCACUAUCGUUAACUGAAUACAUAGGUUAACGAGGCGAACCGGGGGAACUGAAACAUCUAAGUACCCCGAGGAAAAGAAAUCAACCGAGAUUCCCCCAGUAGCGGCGAGCGAACGGGGAGCAGCCCGGAGUCUGAAUCAGCUUGUGUGUUAGUGGAACGGUCUGGAAAGUCCGACGGUACAGGGUGAUAGUCCCGUACACGAAAGCACACUUGCUGUGAACUCGAAGAGUAGGGCGGGACACGUGGUAUCCUGUCUGAAUAUGGGGGGACCAUCCUCCAAGGCUAAAUACUCCUGACUGACCGAUAGUGAACCAGUACCGUGAGGGAAAGGCGAAAAGAACCCCGGCGAGGGGAGUGAAAAAGAACCUGAAACCGUGUACGUACAAGCAGUGGGAGCCUCUUUAUGGGGUGACUGCGUACCUUUUGUAUAAUGGGUCAGCGACUUAUAUUCUGUAGCAAGGUUAACCGUAUAGGGGAGCCGAAGGGAAACCGAGUCUUAACUGGGCGUUAAGUUGCAGGGUAUAGACCCGAAACCCGGUGAUCUAGCCAUGGGCAGGUUGAAGGUUGGGUAACACUAACUGGAGGACCGAACCGACUAAUGUUGAAAAAUUAGCGGAUGACCUGUGGCUGGGGGUGAAAGGCCAAUCAAACCGGGAGAUAGCUGGUUCUCCCCGAAAGCUAUUUAGGUAGCGCCUCGUGAACUCAUCUUCGGGGGUAGAGCACUGUUUCGGCUAGGGGGCCAUCCCGGCUUACCAACCCGAUGCAAACUACGAAUACCGAAGAAUGUUAUCACGGGAGACACACGGCGGGUGCUAACGUCCGUCGUGAAGAGGGAAACAACCCAGACCGCCAGCUAAGGUCCCAAAGUCAUGGUUAAGUGGGAAACGAUGUGGGAAGGCACAGACAGCCAGGAUGUUGGCUUAGAAGCAGCCAUCAUUUAAAGAAAGCGUAAUAGCUCACUGGUCGAGUCGGCCUGCGCGGAAGAUGUAACGGGGCUAAACCAUGCACCGAAGCUGCGGCAGCGACGCUUANGCGUUGUUGGGUAGGGGAGCGUUCUGUAAGCCGUUGAAGGUGUGCUGUGAGGCAUGCUGGAGGUAUCAGAAGUGCGAAUGCUGACAUAAGUAACGAUAAAGCGGGUGAAAAGCCCGCUCGCCGGAAGACCAAGGGUUCCUGUCCAACGUUAAUCGGGGCAGGGUGAGUCGACCCCUAAGGCGAGGCCGAAAGGCGUAGUCGAUGGGAAACAGGUUAAUAUUCCUGUACUUGGUGUUACUGCGAAGGGGGGACGGAGAAGGCUAUGUCAGCCGGGCGACGGUUGUCCCGGUUUAAGCAUGUAGGCGGAGGUUCCAGGUAAAUCCGGUACCUUGUUAACGCUGAGGUGUGAUGACGAGGCACUACGGUGCUGAAGUGAUAAAUGCCCUGCUUCCAGGAAAAGCCUCUAAGCAUCAGGUAACACGAAAUCGUACCCCAAACCGACACAGGUGGUCAGGUAGAGAAUACCAAGGCGCUUGAGAGAACUCGGGUGAAGGAACUAGGCAAAAUGGUGCCGUAACUUCGGGAGAAGGCACGCUGAUGUGUAGGUGAAGUCCCUGCGGACGGAGCUGAAAUCAGUCGAAGAUACCAGCUGGCUGCAACUGUUUAUUAAAAACACAGCACUGUGCAAACACGAAAGUGGACGUAUACGGUGUGACGCCUGCCCGGUGCCGGAAGGUUAAUUGAUGGGGUUAGCGGCAACGCGAAGCUCUUGAUCGAAGCCCCGGUAAACGGCGGCCGUAACUAUAACGGUCCUAAGGUAGCGAAAUUCCUUGUCGGGUAAGUUCCGACCUGCACGAAUGGCGUAAUGAUGGCCAGGCUGUCUCCACCCGAGACUCAGUGAAAUUGAACUCGCUGUGAAGAUGCAGUGUACCCGCGGCAAGACGGAAAGACCCCGUGAACCUUUACUAUAGCUUGACACUGAACACUGGUCCUUGAUGUGUAGGAUAGGUGGGAGGCUUUGAAGCGUGGACGCCAGUCUGCGUGGAGCCAACCUUGAAAUACCACCCUUUAAUGGCUGGUGUUCUAACGUAGACCCGUAAUCCGGGUUGCGGACAGUGUCUGGUGGGUAGUUUGACUGGGGCGGUCUCCUCCCAAAGAGUAACGGAGGAGCACGAAGGUUGGCUAAUCCUGGUCGGACAUCAGGAGGUUAGUGCAAUGGCAUAAGCCAGCUUGACUGCGAGCGUGACGGCGCGAGCAGGUGCGAAAGCAGGUCAUAGUGAUCCGGUGGUUCUGAAUGGAAGGGCCAUCGCUCAACGGAUAAAAGGUACUCCGGGGAUAACAGGCUGAUACCGCCCAAGAGUUCAUAUCGACGGCGGUGUUUGGCACCUCGAUGUCGGCUCAUCACAUCCUGGGGCUGAAGUAGGUCCCAAGGGUAUGGCUGUUCGCCAUUUAAAGUGGUACGCGAGCUGGGUUUAGAACGUCGUGAGACAGUUCGGUCCCUAUCUGCCGUGGGCGCUGGAGAAUUGAGGGGGGCUGCUCCUAGUACGAGAGGACCGGAGUGGACGCAUCACUGGUGUUCGGGUUGUCAUGCCAAUGGCACUGCCCGGUAGCUAAAUGCGGAA
rnacentral:rRNA from 1 species